rnacentral:rRNA from 1 species
AACGAGAAAGUGGAGCAAUCCAUGAUUACAGCUGGCGUACGGGUGAGUAACACGUGGAUCAUCUGCCCUUUAGUGGGGAAUACCGAUGGGAAACCGUCGACUAUACCGCAUAAGCUCGAGAGAGGAAAGCAGCAAUGCGCUGAAGGAGGAGUCCGCGGUCGAUUAGCUAGUUGGUGAGGUAAUGGCUCACCAAGGCUGUGAUCUAUAGCCGGCCUGAGAGGGCACACGGCCACACUGGCACUGAAACACGGGCCAGACUCCUACGGGAGGCAGCAGUGGGGAAUCUUGCACAAUGGGGGAAACCCUGAUGCAGCGACGCCGCGUGAGCGAUGAAGCCCUUCGGGGUGUAAAGCUCUUUCGGCAGGGAAGAUUAUGACGGUACCUGCAGAAGCAGCUGCGGCUAACUACGUGCCAGCAGCCGCGGUAAUACGUAGGCAGCAAGCGUUGUUCGGAGUUACUGGGCGUAAAGGGUGCGUAGGCGGUCCUGUAAGUAUGGUGUGAAAUCUCCCGGCUUAACUGGGAGGGUGCGCUAUAGACUGCGGGACUAGAGGGUGGGAGAGGAAAGUGGAAUUCCUGGUGUAGCGGUGAAAUGCGUAGAUAUCAGGAGGGACACCGGUGGUGUAAACGGCUUUCUGGACCAUUUCUGACGCUGAGGCACGAAAGCGUGGGUAGCAAACAGGAUUAGAUACCCUGGUAGUCCACGCCCUAAACGAUGCAUAUUUGGUGUGGGUCAUUCAGUUGAUCCGUGCCGGAGCUAACGCGUUAAAUAUGCCGCCUGGGGAGUACAGUCUCAAGGCUGAAACUCAAACGAAUUGACGGGGGCCCGCACAAGCGGUGGAGCAUGUGGUUUUAUUCGACGCAACGCG